GUCCAACUAGCUUAGUCAGUAGAGCAUGAGACUCUCAAUUUCAGGGCCAUGGGUUUGAGCCCCAUGUUGGGCA